CAAGCCUGAUCCAGCCAUGCCGCGUGAGUGAUGAAGGCCUUAGGGUUGUAAAGCUCUUUUACCCGGGAUGAUAAUGACAGUACCGGGAGAAUAAGCUCCGGCUAACUCUGUGCCAGCAGCCGCGGUAAUACGGAGGGGGCUAGCGUUGUUCGGAAUUACUGGGCGUAAAGCGCACGUAGGCGGCUUUGUAAGUUAGAGGUGAAAGCCUGGAGCUCAACUCCAGAAUUGCCUUUAAGACUGCAUCGCUUGAAUCCAGGAGAGGUGAGUGGAAUUCCGAGUGUAGAGGUGAAAUUCGUAGAUAUUCGGAGGAACACCAGUGGCGAAGGCGACCUACUGGGCACCUAACUGACGUUGAGGCUAAGCAUGGGGAGCGAACAGGGAGAACCCUGGUAGUCCACGCCGUAAACGAUGAUGGUAGUCCACGCCGUAAACGAUGAGUGCUAGGUGUCACGGGCUUUGACCCUCGUGGUGCCGUAGCUAACGCAAUAAGCGCCCCGCCUGGGGAGUACGUUCGCAAGAAUAAAACUCAAAGGAAUUGACGGGGGCCCGCACAAGCGGUGGAGCAUGUGGUUUAAUUCGAUGCAACGCGAAGAACCUUACCAAGGCUUGACAUGUUCUCGAUCGCCGUAGAGAUACGGUUUCCCCUUUGGGGCGGGUUCACAGGUGGUGCAUGGUUGUCGUCAGCUCGUGUCGUGAGAUGUUGGUUAAGGUUCCCGCAACGAGCGCAACCCUUGUUCACUGUUGCCAGCACGUUAUGGUGGGGACUCAGUGGAGACUGCCGGUGAUAAGCCGGAGGAAGGUGAGGAUGACGUCAAAUCAUCAUGCCCCUUAUGUCUUUGGCUGCACACAUGCUACAAUGGCCGGUACAAAGGGCUGCUAAACCGCGAGGUGGAGCGAAUCCCAAAAAGCCGGUCUCAGUUCGGAUUGGUGUCUGCAACUCGACACCGUGAAGUUGGAGUCGCUAGUAAUCGCAGAUCAGCAACGCUGCGGUGAAUACGUUCUCGG
rnacentral:rRNA from 1 species